UUUACUUUUAUCAUGUAGGAAAAGAUUUUUUAAAGACAUAAUAACUAUUAAGCAAAUGAGAAAGAACUUCCCUCUCAAAAGAAAGAAGUGUGAACAAAGGCAAUGUCCUGGAGAAGCCAAAGGCCAUUUGUUAGGUUGUCUUUCUGUACCUGAUGAAGUGCAGUUUGGCGCCUUGUUCCUGGUACCUGAGAGUCAGAAAAACAGUCUGAGUCACUAUCAGAGCGAGAACAGGGGCCCUGUGGUGGGUCCUCUUAAAGACCUUUCCUCAUGAGAAGCCCUUGAAGCUACACGUUUUGCUUUUGUAGGUAACAUGGCACUAAAGCUUCCAAGACCAUCAGCAUCUGAAGACUUCAAUCAACAGAAAGAAAACCAAAUCACAUUUUACAUCCUAUUUAAUAUUUUGGAGCAUGGAGAAAUGAGAAGCCUCUAGAGAGAUGAAAAAAAUCUGAGUCCCCUUCCCACUCCAUCCAUGUCAAGAGUAAUUAAAGCUGCUGGAAAUAUUGACU